UACAUGGGGUGCAAACGUUGCUCGGAAUCAUUGGGCGUAAAGCGCGCGUAGGCGGUUGCUUAAGUCGGAUGUGAAAGCCCUCGGCUUAACUGAGGAAGUGCAUCCGAAACUGAGCAGCUAGAGUACGAAAGAGGGUCGCGGAAUUCCCGGUGUAGAGGUGAAAUUCGUAGAUAUCGGGAGGAACACCGGUGGCGAAGGCGGCGACCUGGGCCAAUACUGACACUGAGGUGCGAAAGCGUGGGGAGCAAACAGG
rnacentral:rRNA from 1 species